AAAUCCCUGCUGUGUGCGAUUCAGGCUGUAUUUUUUGAGCCAACAAAGAUGAAUCGGGAGCCCAGUCUCCGACGGCAUAAAAUAAGCCCUAAAGAUUAUAGGGGACAUUUGAAGUCGCCGGGCAGGCACCCACCUGCGGAAGCAGGUUCAAAAAAUGCGGUUAAAACGGCACGGCGGGGGUAUU
rnacentral:other from 1 species